rnacentral:rRNA from 1 species
UACGUAGGGGGCUAGCGUUGUCCGGAAUCAUUGGGCGUAAAGAGCGCGUAGGCGGCCAGAUAAGUCCGGUGUGAAAGUCACAGGCUCAACCUGUGAAUGCCGCUGGAUACUGCCGGGCUAGAGGAUGGUAGAGGCGAGUGGAAUUCCCGGUGUAGCGGUGAAAUGCGCAGAUAUCGGGAGGAACACCAGUAGCGAGGGCGGCUCGCUGGGCCAUUCCUGACGCUGAGACGCGAAAGCUAGGGGAGC